GAUGAACGCUGGCGGCGUGCUUAACACAUGCAAGUCGAACGAUGAAGCCCAGCUUGCUGGGUGGAUUAGUGGCGAACGGGUGAGUAACACGUGAGUAACCUGCCCUUAACUCUGGGAUAAGCCUGGGAAACUGGGUCUAAUACCGGAUAGGAGCGCCUACCGCAUGGUGGGUGUUGGAACGAUUUAUCGGUUUUGGAUGGACUCGCGGCCUAUCAGCUUGUUGGUGAGGUAAUGGCUCACCAAGGCGACGACGGGUAGCCGGCCUGAGAGGGUGACCGGCCACACUGGGACUGAGACACGGCCCAGACUCCUACGGGAGGCAGCAGUGGGGAAUAUUGCACAAUGGGCGAAAGCCUGAUGCAGCGACGCCGCGUGAGGGAUGACGGCCUUCGGGUUGUAAACCUCUUUCAGUAGGGAAGAAGCGAAAGUGACGGUACCUGCAGAAGAAGCACCGGCUAACUACGUG
rnacentral:rRNA from 1 species